rnacentral:rRNA from 1 species
GAUGAACGCUGGCGGUAUGCUUAACACAUGCAAGUCGAACGGGGUGCAUAGUCACCUAGUGGCGGACGGGUGAGUAACGCGUGAGAAUCUGGCCUCAGGUCCGGGACAACCACGGGAAACGGUGGCUAAUACCGGAUGUGCCAUAUUGGUGAAAGAUUAAUUGCCUGAGGAUGAGCUCGCGUCUGAUUAGCUAGUUGGUGGGGUAAAGGCUUACCAAGGCGACGAUCAGUAACUGGUCUGAGAGGACGACCAGUCACACUGGGACUGAGACACGGCCCAGACUCCUACGGGAGGGAGCAGUGGGGAAUUUUACGCAAUGGGCGAAAGCCUGACGGAGCAAUACCGCGUGAGGGAGGAAGGCUCUUGGGUUGUAAACCUCUUUUCUCAGGGAAGAAGAAUGACGGUACCUGAGGAAUCAGCAUCGGCUAACUCCGUG